rnacentral:rRNA from 1 species
CCUACGGGAGGCAGCAGUGAGGAAUAUUGGUCAAUGGACGGAAGUCUGAACCAGCCAUGCCGCGUGCAGGAAGACGGCUCUAUGAGUUGUAAACUGCUUUUGUACAAGGGUAAACCUGAAUACGUGUAUUCAGCUGAAAGUACUGUACGAAUAAGGAUCGGCUAACUCCGUGCCAGCAGCCGCGGUAAUACGGAGGAUCCAAGCGUUAUCCGGAUUUAUUGGGUUUAAAGGGUGCGUAGGCGGAUGGAUAAGUUAGAGGUGAAAUGUCCGAGCUUAACUCGGGAACUGCCUCUAAUACUGUAGAUCUAGAGAGUAGAUGCGGUAGGCGGAAUGUAUGGUGUAGCGGUGAAAUGCUUAGAGAUCAUACAGAACACCGAUUGCGAAGGCAGCUUACCAAUCUAUAUCUGACGUUGAGGCACGAAAGCGUGGGUAGCAAACAGGAUUAGAUACCCCAGUAGUC